GCAGUGGUGCAAUGGGUCAGUGUGUCUGGCUGCUAAACAGAAGGUUGGUGGUUCGAGCCCACCCAGGGACA
rnacentral:tRNA from 1 species